AUGCUUGCUUUGGCAGCACAUAUACUAAAAUUAGAACGGUGUAGAGAAGAUUAGCAUGGCCCCUGCCCAAGGAUGACACACAAAUUCGUGAAACAUUCCAUAUUUUU
rnacentral:snRNA from 1 species